CUUUCUUUGUUUCUGUCUGUCUGUCUUUCUUUCUUCUUUCUUUCUUUCUUCUUUCCCUCCUUCUCUCCCUCCCUUUCUCUCUCUCUCUCCCCCUUCCCCUCUCUUCCCCUCCUCUCCCCUUCCCUUGACAGAGUCUUGCUUCGUCGCCCAGGCUGGAAGCGCAAUGGCAUGAUAUAAGUGAUUUAAGAUAGAAAAGUAUUUCUCUCUCAUGAAAUCUGUCCAUUAUUGUUAAGGUACUCCAUGGUAUCAAGGACCCAAUAUCUUUUUUUUUUUUUUCAGACAGUCUCACUCUAUUACCCAGGUUGGAGUGCAGUCGCACGAUCUCAGCUCACUGCAAACUGUGCCUCUCGAGCUCAAGGGAUCCUUCUACCUCAGCUUCCUGUGUAGCUGGGACUCUGGGUGUGUGCCACCAUGCCCAGCAAAUUUUUUGUAUUUUCCACAGAGACAGGGUUUCACCACGUUGGAGUAUUUUGGACUCAAGCAGUCUGCCCCCUUGGCCUCCCAAGGUGCUGUGAUUACAGGUGUGAGCCACCAUACCUAGCUCCAAGAUCAUUUUACCUUGUUGCUUUACAAUGGGUAGUUUCUAUUCCUAAGGUAAUAUCAUGGUCCAGAAGAGCUUCAGGAAAUCCAAGACCAUUACAUAACAUUCCAUUCAACUGAAAAGAAAAAGGAGUGAAGCUUUUGAAGGCCCUGACAAGAUUUUGUGGAUUAGUGCCCUUAUGAAAGAGGCUUCCCAUGGCUGUUGGCCCUUUUGCCCUUCUGCCUUCUGCCAAGUGAGGACAGUGUUCCUCCCCUCUGGAGGAUGCAGCUUUCAAGCCACCAUUGUGGAAACCAAAAUUGGACCCUCAUCAGACACAGAAUUUGCUGGAACCUUGAUCUUGGACUUCCCAG
rnacentral:lncRNA from 10 species